UCUCUACUUUCUCUCUCUAAAUUUCUAUGGUUUCUUGCAUGUUUUCACAAUGUAGAAAGGGAAAAAAGCAUAUUAGUCUAUAGACAAGUUGAGAACAAGCAACAAAGUAAUAAGUGAAUAAAACAACUACGUCAGCUCAUUUUUUAAAUGACCAAUAAAUCAUUUACCUAACAAUGAAGAAAAUCAAACAAAAUAGCCAAAGUAAGCAAUUUACAAUAGAAAAAGUAAAAUCACUAGCAAACACCCUUAAUUCCCGUAUUUAAACAAAAUAGAGAAGUAAAAUCACUAAUCAGGCACGGAAUGUACUUCAAGCUGUAAUCAAGAUUGUCUAAUAAUUCCAUGGAAAUUAAUCAAAUAACAAGAGAACUCUGAAAUUGAACCUAGAGCUCCAGUAGGGAAAAGGGAAAUGAGUGCACUUACUUCUUGAACAUUUUCACGGGCUGACGCUGAGAGAAGAAUAAUAUGUAGGGUUUAAGCUGAUGAACAGAGUGAAAUUUUGGAAUUGAGAUCUCAAUUUUAAAAUAGAACAUAUGCUAGCCCUUAUAUUUAUUGAUGAUAGCCAAAGAUGACGUUUUUUUAGUGGAUCCACCGGCUAAGCCCCGUGGACCGCGUUGUAAGAAAGCUAAGGUAUCUGAGUUCCACUUUGAUGAUUUUAAUGUUCUAUGUUAACAUGUCCGUAUAAAGUGGAUUUAGUGACAUUUGCGGCUAAAAGAAAAAGUAAGUAUUUGAGGCUAAAAUGUAAAACACAAAAAAGUACGUGGAUCGUUAUUGUGAAUUACGUGAGGAAAGCUGCUAGAGAGGUAUUCGGGGAUUCAAAGGGCUCGUCUGGUGGCCGCAUAGGGGAUUGAUGGUGGAGUACUG
rnacentral:lncRNA from 1 species